GCAUACGGCGUAGGUGUGCGGCGCACACGUGCGGGGUCGGGACACGGGGUAGGUGUUACGUGUCAGCGUCGGCAGGCUCUCCGAGGCCACCUUGCCCAGCUGCACGUCAGCAAGGUAGGGGAACUGGCCGUUCUCCGCGCCCCCCCUGUGGACUUUGCUCUUCCAGUGGCUCUUGUUCCUCAGGCUCCUGGACAUGGCAGUGGGCUGGGUCGCCGCGGCUCCGGAGGGCCUGGGGACAAGGACCGCGAGGCUGCGCUGUGGCGUCACUGGCGCGGAGGAAGCCAGGCAGCGCCUGAGCAGCAUUGGGCAGAGUUAGUUUUCCAGGAAGUUUUUAAGGAAACUCCUUGUGGAUUCAUCAAUCAACAAUGACCUGGAAAUACUGACAGGAAAAUCUACCCAUUAAAUUCAUGACAAUAGAUUUCUUUGAAGACAAGAAAGCAGAAGUAAGAACUUAUGGAGAGAUACCAAGUACUCAAUUUUCUUAGGUAAUUGUUCAGAUCUCUAAAUAUGUUAAUGCUGAUGUAAACAUUAUUAAAUAUUUGCAUGUUCAUAUCUAUAAAGAUAAUAUUAAUUGGGCCUUUUCU
rnacentral:lncRNA from 1 species